GGGAUUGUGGCUCAGUGGUAGAGUGCUUGCCUAGCAUGUGUGAGGCCCUGGGUUCGAUCCUCAGCACCA
rnacentral:tRNA from 1 species